CAGACGCGCAAUUGGCCCAUUUUGAACAAUAGGCACGCAUCCUUAAUAACUGAAACGGCAUUGUUUCAUUUAAUUCCCAAAAUUAAAAGCCAUUGAAUGGCAGAUUGUUCUCCCUUUCAGCCACAAAUAGAAGACCCAAUUAUUAGGGUUUCAAAACAGCAGAUUUUUGAGGCUUUCCCCUUCCCUUUUCGAUCACUCGACUGCUACUUUCCACCAUUGAAACCAAUGGAUGAUAGCUCGCCAUGGAGACGUUUUGUUUUCUUACUCUAAACCUCCCCCCAAAAGGGUAUGGAGGUGCCAGGGAAUGGUGCUUGCAGAGGCAUGGGGUGGCCAGGCAGCAUGGGGUGACCAGGGUUUUUCCUUUUUUGUUGUUUUUUUUUAUUAUUGGUUUGGGCUAGAGUUAGUGGUUUGGGCUGAUGUAAUUUAGGUUUGGGUAUUUGGGUUUUGGGCUGGGCAUAAUUGGGCCGUACAGACAUUAUUUAAAUUAAUUUUUGUGAAAAGGGCUUAUUCCAGGGUAAUUGAGAAGAAAGGAUCAUGUCCCGUAAGUUAGGUCACAAUGCCUUAAAUCUUUGAAGACAAGAACAAACAUCAUUUGUUUGUUACUUAAAUCUCGUUUUUAUUAUUUUUGAAAUAGAUAUUCAACUAUUUCAGUUUUAGAAA